UAGUUCAGCACUAAGUCACUUUGUCUUAAUGGCAAAUGUGAGAUGCAGUGUAUGGAAUGUCAAAUUUCUAGUAUGAGAAAUUAACGAUUUAAGUCCUUCUUAAAUGAGGCCAUUUACCCAAAGAGGGUGCCAGGCCCGUAUAACGUUAAUGAUUACUAGAUGGCAUUUCCAAAGAGUCGUGUUGCUUGAUAGUGCAGCACUAAGUGGGUGGUAAACUCCAUCUAAAACUAAAUAUAACCAUGAGACCGAUAGUAAACAAGUACCGUGAGGGAAAGUUGAAAAGAACUCUGAAUAGAGAGUUAAAUAGUACGUGAAACUGCUUAGAGGUUAAGCCCGAUGAACCUGAAUAUCCAUUAUAGAAAAUUCAUCAUUAUGAUUUUAAUAUUUAUAAUAUUAUAAUAAUGGUGUGCAUUUUUUCUAUAAAAGGACAUUGUAAUCUAUUAACAUCAAAUAUUUAUCAAAAGAUCAAUUGCAAAUGUUUAUUCAAAUUAUUUUGCUUGCAAUUUAACAUAGAAUAAAUGCUUUUGAUUUGAUAAAGUGUUGAUAGAUUUAUUAUAUAUAGUGCUUAAAUAUUUAUAUUUUAUAAUAGCAUAUUAAUCAUUGAUUUUUAUGUUUAUUAUAUGCACUUAUAUGAUUAACAAUGCGAAAGAUUCAGGAUACCUUCGGGACCCGUCUUGAAACACGGACCAAGGAGUCUAACAUAUUUGCAAGUUAUUGGGAAUAAAAACCUAAUAGCGAAAUUAACAUAACUUAUAUAAUGGGAUUAAUUUUUAGCCUAUUUAUAGUCUAUUAAUUCAAUCCCGGGGCGUUCUAUAUAGUUAUGUAUAAUAAUAUUUAUAUUAUUUAUACCUCUAACUAGAGCGUACCUUGAGCAUAUAUGCUGUGACCCGAAAGAUGGUGAACUAUACUUGAUCAGGUUGAAGUCAGGGGAAACCCUGAUGGAAGACCGAAACAGUUCUGACGUGCAAAUCGA
rnacentral:rRNA from 1 species